UGUGUAGGCGGCCUUUUAAGUUUGGUGUGAAAUCUCCCGGCUUAACCGGGAGGGUGCGCCGAAUACUGAAGGGCUAGAGUGCGGGAGAGGAGAGUGGAAUUCCUGGUGUAGCGGUGAAAUGCGUAGAUAUCAGGAGGAACACCGGUGGUGUAGACGGCUCUCUGGACCGUAACUGACGCUGAGACACGAAAGCGUGGGUAGCAAACAGGAUUAGACUACCCUGGUAGUCCACGCCCUAAACGAUGCAUAUUUGGUGUGGGUCAUUCAGUUGAUCCGUGCCGGAGCUAACGCGUUAAAUAUGCCGCCUGGGGAGUACAGUCGCAAGGCUGAA
rnacentral:rRNA from 1 species